CUCUCAGCUGAGGCGGCCUCCCACCAUCCCCAGCCGGCAGAAGCGACCCGCCCGAGCGAGCGCGGCGUCCGGCGGCGCCCUCUACCGCUCGCGGCCCGGACCAGGGCGUAGAGGCCGCCGCCGCUGCUCGUCCAGGCUGUGCCAGGAGGACGGGGAGCCUCCCUGAGAAGCCCGCCUCCUGCGCCCCAUGAUCACCACGCUGAUAACGAAAACGGGAAAACAACAACAACACCCUAUCACUCUGCCAGGUUUUCAGUUAAGGUUCCUGAAACACGCUAAGUGCCCCCCCCGCAAAAAAAGCUUAUUGGAACAUGUGCAGGGUGCUGCUCUCCCCGGAACCACACUAAACCAGUGAACCGGGUAAGCAUACAUGGGUUGUAAAAGCCAAGGAGUUUCCAGUCACUGUGUACAACUUCCAGCCUGUAGACAGACACUGCUUCUGUAAAAACCCAGGGGACGGAGAACAUCAGUAUCAUGCACCUGCAAGAGAGCUCACCUGCCCGGCUCAUGCAGCAGACAGGUGCAACCCACAAGGUUAAUGUUCCUGAUUCUCUUGUGCAAUUCCAGUCACUAAAAGGAGGUUACAGGCCAUGAACUGUACACUCAGUACAUUAUUUAUCUGUCCGGUAUAUACACCAA